GCCAUUUUCAUCAGGGGGCUGGAGAAGCGGUUUCAGGCAUUGACCUCUCUCAAGGCUAACUUACCUCACCUAUCAAAACAUAAAAACCGGAAAACCUGUAACACCUGUCAAGAGGAUGAAGAUGAGCUGCUCCCUUCAGAAGUGGAGGGGGAAGGAAGGCGCUACUGGAACUUGGGUCACCGCGUACACACAGGGGUCUGUCCCAGCCUGCCCACGGCUCGCCAGUCUUCCCAAUUGUGACACCUCCUCCCACCACCCCCUGGGCUCUCCAAGCGUCCUCUCAGACCCCCUCCCUGGAGCCCCCUCAUCUCACAAGCAGUAUUCAAAGGCAGUGGUUUGGAAGGUGGGCUCUGGAGCCUGAUUGACCAACUGGGUUCAAAUCCAGACUCCACCACUUUUCCAGAUGU
rnacentral:lncRNA from 1 species